rnacentral:lncRNA from 1 species
GGGCGCGGGCCGGCCGCCGCGCGGUGCGCUCGCCGUGCUCUGUGCGGCUUGCCGGGCCGCCCGCCAGAGGGUGCCCCCCACCCCCAUGAAGUCGGAUCCUUGAGCUGCGGCGGCGGCAGCCAACUGCUCCAUAUUUGGCUUCUAUUACACAUUUACAUACUGGAGCGAGCGAGCGAGCGAGCGCGAGAGAGCGCGAGGGAGGGAGGGCGGGCGGGCGGAGGGAGGAGGGAGGGGAGGGGAGCGGGAGGAGGGGGAGGAGGAGGAGGAGGAGGAGGAGAGAGCAGAGUAUACCGCAGACAUCAUUUCUACUACAGUGGCGGAGCCGUACAGGACCUGUUUCACUGCAGGGGGAUCCAAAACAAGCCCCGUGGAGCAGCAGCCAGAGCAACAGCAGCCGCAAGACAUUGUUUCUCUCCCUCUGCCCCCCCUUCCCCACGCAACCCCAGAUCCAUUUACACUUUACAGAGCAUCGUGCAUCAAGUCACCAGGGUGGUCCAUUCAAGCUGCAGAUUUAUUUGUCAUCCUUGUACAACAGUCUCCUCCUCCACUGCCACUACAGGGAAGUGCAUCACAUGUCAGCAUACUGGAGCAUAG